GUUAUACAGGUCACAUAAUCUCAGCAAACAUACCCACCGUUUUUAGUUUGUUUCUUUUACAGGAGUUGAGCUGUUUGAUCAUAAAAUUCAUCGGGAAGAACAACGCAGCAAGAGCAGUGAGAACAGGCUUUUCCAGGAAAAACGUUGAGUCGUGGGUUGAGGCCCCAGGAAAGGCUGGCAUUCGAGAGGCUGGUGCAGGCAUUACUCUGGACGCUUGGGGUACACAGUGAACCAAACAAAGACCCCUCCUUUGUGGAUGUUCCAUUCUAGACAGACAACAGACACUGAACACGGCGAUCAGGUGAGUAGGUAGAAGGUGGCUGGUGUUAUGGGAAGAGAAAGCUGCGGGGGAAGGGCGGUGGGGAGAGGGGUGAGGUGGGUGACGGGGGUAUUCUUGGGAACAGGG
rnacentral:lncRNA from 1 species